rfam:Felis catus isolate Cinnamon breed Abyssinian chromosome E2, whole genome shotgun sequence.
GCCUGGUUGGCUCAGUCAGUAGAGCUUGUGACUCUUGAUCUCAGGGUCAUGAGUUCAAGACCCACACUGGGCA